AUGGACUGGAGCUGGAGAACCCUCCUCCUGGUGGCCAUGGUGACAGGUGUCCACUCCCAGGUGCAGCUGGUGCAGUCUGGGGCUGAGGUGAGGAAGCCUGGGGCCUCCGUGAAGGUCUCCUGCAAGGCUUCUGGAUCCACCUUCACCAGCUACUGGAUGCACUGGGUGCGACAGGCCCCAGGACUGGGGCUUGAGUGGAUGGGGAGGGUUCUCCCUUUACUUGGAAUCACAGACUACACACAGAAGUUCCAAGGCGGAGCCUCCAUGACCAGAGACAUGUCCACGAGCACAGCCUACAUGGAGCUCAGCAGCCUGAGAGCUGAGGACACGGCCGUGUAUUACUGUGUGAGGAUAAAGAAAAGAAGAUCUAAAGAGGGCAAAUACCUGGCUGUGGGCACCAGCAGUGCGGAGGUUCAGCUAUGGGAUGUGCAGCAGCAGAAGCGGCUUCAGAACAUGACCAGUCAUUCUGCCCGAGUGGGCUCCCUGUGUUGGAAUCGCUACCUACUGUCCAGUGGCUCACGCUCUGGUCACAUCCAUCACCACGAUGUUCGGGUAGCAGAACACCAUGUGGCCACACUGAGUGGUCACAGCCAGGAAGUGCGCGGACUGCACUGGUCCCCAGAUGGACGACAUUUGGCCAGUGGUGGCAAUGAUAACUUGGUCAAUGUGUGGCCUAGUGCUGCUUUAGAGGCGGGCUGGGUUCCCCUGCAGACAUUCACCCAGCAUCAAGGGGCUGUCAAGGCUCUAGCUUGGUGUCCCUGGCAGUCCAAUUAGGGCAACUGGAGGGGGCACCAGUGAUCGGCACAUUCGCAUCUGGAACGUCUGCUCUGGGGCCUGUCUGAAUGCUGUGGAUGCCCACUCCCAGGUGUGCUCCAUCCUCUGGUCUUCCCACUACAAGGAACUUAUCUCAGGUCAUGGCUUUGCCCACAACCAGCUGGUUAUUUGGAAGUACCCAACCAUGGUCAAGGUGGCUGAGCUCAAAGGUCACACAGCCCAGGUCCUAAGUUUGGCCAUGAGUCCAGAUGGGGCCACGGUGGCAUCAGCAGCAGCAGAUGAGACCCUACACAUGUGGCACUGCUUUGAGUUGGACCCUGCAUGGCGGCGGGAGCGGGAAAAGGCUAGUGCAAUCAAAAGCAGCCUUAUCCAUCAAAGCAUCUGUUGAGGACCAACUCAU